rnacentral:rRNA from 1 species
GAUGAACGCUGGCGGCGUGCCUAAUACAUGCAAGUCGAGCGAACAGACGAGGAGCUUGCUCCUUUGACGUUAGCGGCGGACGGGUGAGUAACACGUGGAUAACCUACCUAUAAGACUGGGAUAACUUCGGGAAACCGGAGCUAAUACCGGAUAACAUGUUGAACCGCAUGGUUCAACAGUGAAAGACGGUCUUGCUGUCACUUAUAGAUGGAUCCGCGCCGCAUUAGCUAGUUGGUAAGGUAACGGCUUACCAAGGCAACGAUGCGUAGCCGACCUGAGAGGGUGAUCGGCCACACUGGAACUGAGACACGGUCCAGACUCCUACGGGAGGCAGCAGUAGGGAAUCUUCCGCAAUGGGCGAAAGCCCGACGGAGCAACGCCGCGUGAGUGAAGAAGGUCUUCGGAUCGUAAAACUCUGUUAUUAGGGAAGAACAAAUGUGUAAGUAACUAUGCACGUCUUGACGGUACCUAAUCAGAAAGCCACGGCUAACUACGUG